rnacentral:rRNA from 1 species
AGCUAAUACUUGCUUUAGCACUCUUGAUUAAGUUCUUGAGUGUGUACUUGUUAAGCCUUUUAAGAAAAAAGUUAUUAACUUAAGGAAUUAUAACAAAGAAGCAACACGUAAAUGGAUUUUCCAUUUUUUAGUGUGUAUCAAUCGAGUUUCUGACCUAUCAGCUUUUGAUGUUAGGGUAUUGGCCUAACAUGGCUAUGACGGGUAACGGGGAAUUAGAGUUCGAUUCCGGAGAGGGAGCCUGAGAAAUAGCUACCACAUCUAAGGAAGGCAGCAGGCGCGUAAAUUACCCAAUUCUAAAGAAGAGAGGUAGUGACAAGAAAUAACAAUACAAGGCCAAUCUGGCUUUGUAAUUGGAAUGAUGGGAAUUUAAAACCUUCCCAAAACUCAAUUGGAGGGCAAGUCUGGUGCCAGCAGCCGCGGUAAUUCCAGCUCCAAUAGCGUAUAUUAAAAUUGUUGCAGUUAAAACGCUCGUAGUUGAAUUUCAAAGAAUCGAUAUUUUAAGUAGCACUUUGUAGAUUAAUCCACAUAACUGAUACUACGUAUCGACUUUGUGCGCAUUUUUCUACUUAUGUGUUCUUUUAAUUAAAAUGAUUCUUUUUAAGAUCUUUCUUUUUUGCUUCGGCAUUUUAGGAGAUCUUGUUACUUUGAGUAAAUUAGAGUGUUCAAAGCAAACAGAUUAUAGCAUCUUUAUGCGUUUGAAUACUACAGCAUGGAAUAACAAAAUUGCACAAGUCAGAAUUUUGUUCUUUUUUCUUAUUCUGGCUUAGUUACGAUUAAUAGGAGUAGCUUGGGGGCAUUUGUAUUCAGAUGUCAGAGGUGAAAUUCUUAGAUUUUCUGGAGACAAACAACUGCGAAAGCAUUUGCCUAAAAUACUUCCAUUAAUCAAGAACGAAAGUUAAGGGAGUGAAGACGAUCAGAUACCGUCGUAAUCUUAACCAUAAACUAUGCCGACUAGGCUUUGGAUGAAAGAUUUUAAAAUAAGAGUUUUUUCUCU